AUUGUGUCUUGGCCUUUUGGCUAAGAUCAAGUGGAGUAUCUGUUCUUACCAGUUUCAUAUUAGGGCUGAGACAGGAAUGUUUCCUGAAUGUCUGUGUACAAUUGCAUGAAAUGUUUCACUUACCCUUUGAAGUUUCUGCUUUACAAAGGGUCCUCUUC
ensembl:snRNA U2 U2 spliceosomal RNA